CACUCCACUGGACACCCACUUCCUGUGCCCUGUUCUGGGUUCUGAUAUCGGGGAAAUAGAAGCCUGGACAGGUCCUACCUGCCCAGCAGGAAAACUUGUAAAGGCAGAGGCUUGGGAUUGGAGUAUCAUUGUUGGUCAUCCUUUGCUUCAUAGAGGACUGAUGGCAUCAGAGAGCCAUGCCUUGACUAGCUGGUGAGUUGGAUUGAAGUGAGACAGUGGGGAGAUGAUCUCUGUCAGGCUAGGGGCACAGAGUUCAAGGGCUACACAGAGGAGAAGAAAAACCAAGCUAUGGAGAGGAUGAUGGGAUUACUAGAUCUUCAAAACAAAGAAUGAUGGAGGAGAGCCCCAGAUGCUCCAGGCUGAGAGACAAUUCAGUGGGGCACCUCAAAGUAGCUGGUGAUGGAUUUUCAUCAUCUGCCUGAUAAAUAAUAACUGCCAUUGA